rnacentral:rRNA from 1 species
GUAGUUAACACCUGCACUAUUUGACGUUACCUACAGAAGAAGCACCGGCUAACUCCGUGCCAGCAGCCGCGGUAAUACGGAGGGUGCGAGCGUUAAUCGGAAUUACUGGGCGUAAAAGCGCAUGCAGGCGGCCUGUUAAGUCAGAUGUGAAAAGCCCGGGCUUAAACCUCGGAAAUUGCAUUUGAAAACUGGCAGGCUAGAGUCUUGUAGAGGGGGUAGAAUUUCAGGUGUAGCGGUGAAAAUGCGUAGAGAUCUGAAGGAAUACCAGUGGCGAAGGCGGCCCCUGGACAAAGACUGACGCUCAGAUCGCGAAAGCGUGGGGAGCAAACCAGGAUUAGAUACCCUCGGUAG